UAGUAGUUUGCUCUCGGCUACAGGACACGCUGGCGGCGUGCUUAACACAUGCAAGUCGAACGGAGUACCUUGGAAAGAGAUUUCGGUCAAUGGAAGAGGAUACUUAGUGGCGGACGGGUGAGUAACGCGUGAGGAACCUACCUCUCAGAGGGGGACAACAGUUGGAAACGACUGCUAAUACCGCAUAAUAUAUCUGUAUCGCAUGGUAUGGAUAUCAAAGAUUUAUCGCUGAGAGAUGGCCUCGCGUCUGAUUAGCUGGUUGGUAGGGUAACGGCCUACCAAGGCGACGAUCAGUAGCCGGACUGAGAGGUUGGCCGGCCACAUUGGGACUGAGAUACGGCCCAGACUCCUACGGGAGGCAGCAGUGGGGAAUAUUGGGCAAUGGGCGCAAGCCUGACCCAGCAACGCCGCGUGAAGGAAGAAGGCUUUCGGGUUGUAAACUUCUUUUAAGAGGGAAGAGCAGAAGACGGUACCUCUUGAAUAAGCCACGACUAACUACGUG
rnacentral:rRNA from 1 species